rnacentral:rRNA from 1 species
UGCCAGCCGCCGCGGUAAUACGGAGGGCGCAAGCGUUGUUCGGAAUCAUUGGGCGUAAAGCGCGCGUAGGCGGCUUGGCAAGUCGGGUGUGAAAUCCCGGGGCCCAACCCCGGAACUGCACUCGAAACUGCCUCGCUAGAGUCUCGGAGAGGAAGGCGGAAUUCCCGGUGUAGAGGUGAAAUUCGUAGAUAUCGGGAGGAACACCAGUGGCGAAGGCGGCCUUCUGGACGGUGACUGACGCUGAGGUGCGAAAGCGUGGGGAGCAAACAGGAUUAGAUA